rnacentral:rRNA from 1 species
AGAUUGAACGCUGGCGGCAGGCCUAACACAUGCAAGUCGAGCGGCAGCACGGGUACUUGUACCUGGUGGCGAGCGGCGGACGGGUGAGUAAUGCCUAGGAAUCUGCCUGGUAGUGGGGGAUAACGCUCGGAAACGGACGCUAAUACCGCAUACGUCCUACGGGAGAAAGCAGGGGACCUUCGGGCCUUGCGCUAUCAGAUGAGCCUAGGUCGGAUUAGCUAGUUGGUGGGGUAAUGGCUCACCAAGGCGACGAUCCGUAACUGGUCUGAGAGGAUGAUCAGUCACACUGGAACUGAGACA